CGGGGCUCCGCCGCUGCCCGGCCUGGAGCGGCUGGAAGGGCCGGGGGCGCUGGGAAUGGUCCCGGCCGGGAGAGCGACCGCCCGCACGCCCAGACCCGAGAGGAGCCGGCUGCCAUGGAAAAGUACCGUGCGCGGUUCCGCAGCACUGCGGCCCCGCACAGAAGUGAGAGGAGCCCUCGCGGUGCCACUGUCAGUGCCUGACUACGCUUUAAGGGUAAAAUGACAACACUAAGAAACUUCGAGUCUGUGACAGUUCAUGCCACCCAAGUACCCCAAGAGAACAAGCAAUUGACAUACCACCACCAGCAAUUGUUGCCUUAAUCAGAGAAUCCAACUCUUCAUCUCCUCUAAUGGCAAGCUGCAGGUGACGAGGAGUGAUACGUUUCACCUUCAAGUCUUUGGAUGCAUUUCCCGCCAGCUCAAGGACCUGAAACAAGACCAUUUUUCAAUGGUUACACAACCAAUGAGACAAAUAGCACAGUCUUAGCUGUUUAAUUCUCUAGUCCAAACACAGUGUCACUUGUCAGUGACACCAAGAGGGCAAACAAUAUCUCUUUUAAAGGGAGUCCUCCUUUGGAGCUCUGCAUUUAGUUUUCCCAAUGACAGAGUAAAUGUUCUACAGUAAAUAUGA